CCAGAGAUAUACAUGUUGAAGUUUAAAAUGAUCCUUUUCCUAAUCCUUUGUUGUCUUGAGGCUCUCCCCUCAGGAACUCCAGGAACUCCUGGUGCCGCCUGGGCCGAUGGAUUGGACGCCCCAGCCCCUCCGUUCCUGCCCAGCCACUGGGUCCGUGUCCAGUGGUGGCACUGCCAGCCCUGCAGUGGGAUGUAGCCUGGAAAGUGCACAGAGCUGAGCCAAGGGAUUGAAAGGGACCAAGCAAGGGAGGUGAAGAAAGAAGGAAGAAGGAAAGUGAGGCAUGAGCCAAGCAGCAGCAAGUUGCUGUGUAAGCAGGUGAAAAUGAGGCACAGAAGGACUUAAUGAGUACCAAUGAACUGAUCUGGAGGGCUGUAUUCACAUCCUGGAUUGCAAAAAUUAACUGGAUUUUGUCUCCUGAAUUUCUGCAGUGCACCAACUGAUAUCAUGCUGGAAAAAUAACACACUUCAAUGCCAGGCCAAAGCCCUGAUCCAGCCCAGCUCUGCCCAGUGCCCUGGGCUGGGAGCAGCCAAAGGCAAGAGGCUGCAGCCCCGCCGGCCGGGCUGGGGGCUCCUGGUGCUGCCCGUGGGGUGGGCCCGCAAUUCCAUGCCGAAUUCCUGCUGCAACAGCCUCCCAGUGCCUCCUGGAGCCCGGAUCUUCCCCCGCAGAGCUGCCACUUUAACGCCAGGUUUGCCAGGAAGCAGCCACGGUUCCAGCCCCGCCGGUGUCCCUGGGGGGACUUGAGCGAGUUCCUUGGAAUUCGGCCGAUUCUCCGCCCCGGGCCGGGCUCCAGGGGAUGUGUUGGCCCAGGAGAAGGCGGGGGCCGGACGCGCUCCCGGCCCGGGGCGAGGCAGCCCCUGAGCACGGGCGAGGACGUCUCUCCGGGCCGGGAAGCCGCUGUCCCUUCGGAGCCUCGGGAG